UACGUAGGGUGCGAGCGUUAAUCGGAAUUACUGGGCGUAAAGAGCGCGUAGGCGGUCCGGUAAGUCGGUUGUGAAAACUGGGGGCUCAACCCUCAGAGGCCGACCGAUACUGCUGGGCUAGAGUCCGGAAGAGGCGAGUGGAAUUCCUGGUGUAGCGGUGAAAUGCGCAGAUAUCAGGAGGAACACCAAUGGCGAAGGCAGCGCGCUGGGACGGUACUGACGCUGAGGCGCGAAAGCCAGGGGAGCAAACGGG
rnacentral:rRNA from 1 species